rnacentral:rRNA from 1 species
UGGGGAAUUUUGCGCAAUGGGCGAAAGCCUGACGCAGUAACGCCGCGUGGAGGAUGAAGGCCUUCGGGUUGUAAACUCCUGUCAGGAGGAACGACGGAGCAAGGGUGACAAAUCCUUGUGUCUAGACGGUACCUCCAAAGGAAGCCCCGGCUAAUUCCGUGCCAGCAGCCGCGGUAAUACGGAAGGGGCGAGCGUUGUUCGGAAUCAUUGGGCGUAAAGGGCGCGUAGGUGGUUUUGUGUGUCUACCGUGAAAGCGUACGGCUCAACCGUAUUUUGUCGGUAGAAACUGCAGGACUUGAGGCUGGGAGGGGCUGGUGGAAUUCCCUGUGUAGCGGUGAAAUGCGUAGAGAUGGGGGAGAACACUCGUGGCGAAGGCGGCCAGCUAGACCAGUUCUGACACUGAGGCGCGACAGCGUGGGGAGCAAACAG